rnacentral:lncRNA from 1 species
UUUUUUAAUUCAAACUGACCAUUUCUCAUUUCUUUUUAUUCUGAACUGAUCACUGUUUUUAACUCGUCCUGAUCAAUAUUUUUAAUGCAAACCUUUUUGUCCUUUCAUAUGACAGAAAUUAUUCAUCUCCCAUGACCUCUUAAAAUUCAAGACUCAGGCACAAACAUCCUCAUCUUAGCAGGACAAGCUAAUUCAUUCGCAUGCAGAGCAACAAUAACAAUACUCCAAACAUACCAAGGGACGUCACACUGAAAAAACAAUGCAACCAACGGGUUCUCUCCAGUGGCAAAAUUGACUAUUUUUGAACUUGCACGACAUCUAAACAAGAACUACAUGAUACACAAUUUUCCAUCAUGCACCUCCUAUCCUGAGCAUAAAUGAAAUGAGAGAAGGGUAUCCUGAACAUCUAAACAAGAACUUGCAAUUUUUUCCAUCAUAUGCACCCAGAGAUUCUGCCUUCUCCCCUGGCCCUGAAACAAGAGCACCAUCAGUUUAGUUUUAAACAAAUUGAAAGUUCGAACAUGAGGCAUGUAGUUUUUCAAAUGAUGAAAGUCACAGAACUGAGCUAUUUUUGUUUUACUUCAAAUAAUUCAACAUGAAAAAGACAAAUACAGAUAAAUAUUUUUUUGUGCGAAAUUCUGAAGCAGAUGUCAGUUCGACCUUUUUAAAUACUUUUUUGCACAAGGAGAUGAUGUUAUUGAACUGGCUAGGUACAUUCAGCUUUACCUAGUAUGUUAUUGCCCUGGAACUGCAAUUUGUAUCUUUUACUGCUCAUCUUUAACAUUAAGAAAGUACUAAUCAGUACUAGUAUUUGUGUAAGUCAUACUGAUCAGUACUGCUGCUUGUCGUACUGAUGAGCACUAAAUUUUUCAUCUAGUGGACUGCUCUUGGUUUUCAAGUUGGACUUGAGUACUUUUAAAUGGACUUUUUACAGAGCUCUGAUCAAAAUCUAGAUUCCAAGAAAAAAUGGCCUUCAUGGAUGGCAGUAUGUGAACUGAAGAGUAGGAGAGGAGGAGCACGAAGGUGUUUCUCACCAAUCAUGUUCCUGAUGGCGUGGUGGAUGGAGGCAUGAACUGAUGCUGGUCAUUUUGUUGAACCUCCACCAAAGAACCCCUAUUAAGUCGUAUAGAAGAGAAACCAGAGAUAAGGUUAGUGACAUGGAGCUGGUGCAGUACGGCGACCUCGCCGUAGAUGCAACACCCCAACACACGAGCACCUCACAUAUGUAAGGGAACGGUGCUGGACGUCGUGGUGGUUCUGGACCAGCUCGAGGGCAUGCCUGGCACCAUUGAGGCAGGCCGUGGGGGCUGGCUGGGGGAGGUCAUGGUGGUGGUGACACACGCCAGAGUGAGGAACGGUGACCCACACAAGAAUUUGUAGCAGCUGAGGUGGCAUACGUGCACGGGAGGAGGAAAGCAACCACGUGUGGGGGCGGCGAGCAGUUGUGAUGGUGCGCUUUCCCUCUUGGUUAUUUAUCAAUUACAUAGCUCCAAAAGAAAGGUAACUGAUACAACUACUAGCAAUGUGCUAAAAGAACAUUAGUAUCUAUUAGUUGGGAAUCAUGUGUAUUUGCCUCUCUGUAUUCGAAAUUGCUUCAAUUGAUGGCUCAUUGGAUAACAUGCAUGGUCCUUAUAAUUAUGAAGUUAGCAGCAGUUCUACAUUAGAAUUCCGAGAGAAAUUUCUACAAAAUUCAUUAACCAAAGUGACAGUAUGGUGCUCAUUCUCAAGCACAAUGACAAGUACUUGUUUGUGCUAUAUGAAGGAGAUGGAAACACAAAGGAAAUCAGACUCACCAUUGGGAAGUAGAUGAACUGAAAAGCAUAGAAAAUAUGAACUUGUGCAUCUUGUUUUAACUUCAUCCUACGAAAAAGGAACAAAUAUGGGACAUGAGUUUUUGUCAAGAUGAACUUACCAGGGUUUGGUGUUCGAAUUUUUAAAUGUUUGUGCUACCGGAAAUAGAGAAUAGCAGCAUGCCUCGACCAGAUCGGCGACUUCCUCACGGGCGGCCUCUCGUACACCGCGAGGGCAACACAUACACACACGAACUGACCAGAAUACACAACACGACCGGGUAGAUAAACAAAUUGAUAAGAAUACAUGUCUUCUCGAUUAUGAACUGAUAAGAAUACACAACAUGGACAACUAGCCAUGAACUUCUUGAACUCCCCUGUAGGUUUUUAAUGGUUUUUUGGUGUUCACGUUCUUUACGAAGUCCCUGACUUCUCGACUAUGAACUUACUACAUAGAAGGAUCCUCACAUACAUGUAUAACUUGACAGGAGCUGACAGAAAAUGUUGCAGCAAAAUGGCAUUUUUAUUGAACAUAAUAAUACAACCAUAUCUUGUAAUACAUCCAUCAUGAUGGAAUUAAAUGCACAGUGAAAUGGCAGCAUUACACAUACUCGAGAACUAACAGAUUAUUCUUCAGUUACUCUGAUCAACUUCAGUUUUCUUCAGAAAUUGGAUGAGAAAUAGCAUCGGCUAUGCUAUCAAUUUUUUGCAUCUCUAGCACACUUGUUGGGAGUAUUGUUCAUCACAUGAUGAACCUCUUUUUUUCUGUUUUUCUUGACUGUCAUAGAAUAAAAUAUUGAACUAUCUUGUAUAAGUAUAGUUUUCAUUUUUUUAAAUAAUUGUUCAAUGAACCUCCCCGCCACGUGAGUUUGAACUUAUGAAUUUAUUAGAAAUGAACUUGUGUGAGACUUUUUCUUUGCAUAGUGUACUACCAUUUUUUUGUUUAGUUUGUCAUACAUAGUGAACUGUCAUAUAAUUUUGGGCGAAGUUUUUUAUACCUUUUUAUGUUUGAAAAAUGAACUUUUUUCCUACGCUAUUGUUGUUUUUGCAAGGUCGUCUUACGUUCCAUAUGUACUUGAACUGAUUGAAGUUUGAAGAUUUGAACUUAUGUUUUCUUAAGUAUCGACUAUGCAAAAUAUAUAAAUCCAUUUUUCAUAAGUAUAGACAACGUCAAAGGGAAGAGAGGAAGGGCAGGAGUCAGGGGAGCAAAAGGAAGAUCUAUAGAAAAAUCAAAAGAGAAAUUUUGAUAAGAACAUUACAAGUUUGAAACCAUUCAAGAAUUAAGUUCCUAUGGCUAGUAGCUAUGCAGGAUUUAAGUGAACUCUCAGUAAAAGUAUUUUCGUAUUCCACAUGUAGUAAUACCUGGACUUGCUGUCACAUGUGUUCUUUAUAGUAAAUCGAGGCAAAUGAGAUGGUAAUCCUUCUCUUCAUUUUCUUUUUCUCUAUCCUGCAUCAGUUCAGAAAUCCAAUACAGGUUUCAGUUCAAAAGAGAAUUCCAUCCAUGCCUUGACUGACUAGCAGUAAUUAAAUAAUCAAAAUAAGUUUUUGCUAACCAGUUUAUGUCCUCUCAAUCAGUCCAAAUAAUCUAGCAUCUAGUAUCGAUUAAUCAGUUCGACAAAUGAGGUUGUUAACGAGCCCAUUAACGAUAAAAAUGAAAUCAGCUAAUAACUUACUGGCCGAAUCAAAUUUUAGUGCUUUCAAGCAGCAGCAAUAGUCGGACUGAUGGAGACAUCCAUGGGUGAUAUAUAGUUGAACUUGCAUGAUGUGCAAAUAAGAGCAUGACUUCUGUACUUACUACACGAGCAUGACUUCUGUACUUACUAGACAAUACUACGCCAACAAGUAUCAUGCUAUGUGAACUUUUGUGAUGGAUGACCUUUUAGUUUUUAUUAUCAGUACUUGUUGAAAAUAAAUAUCUAAACCACCAGACUUGGGUGUGGGAACCAAAAUUCAGAAGAGCGGCAUCUCAACAGGGAUUACACUAGCAUUGACAUUCUGACAAUAGUGAGGGCUCAAAUGCCAAGUAAUGUACAGUAACUGAAAAGGCAUCAUUUUUCUGACAUUCGGUUCUGAAACUAUGUGGACCUAAGUAACUAUUGGCAGUCAAGAAAUGUACAAGUUGCAUAUAUUUCUGCCUAGUAAAUUAUGCUACCAAGCUUACAAGUCAAAACAAUUUCUUGAACAUGCAGCACAAAUUGCAGGUUGCUCCCAUCUCUGUUCUCCAAAACAAUUAGAGGGGCGGAUGAAAAAGGAAACCUGUAACAAAUAAUUUUCAUUUCCGUAAGCAGAAACAAUCAGGC